rnacentral:lncRNA from 1 species
UUGAAACUCUGAAAAUAAAUACAUGGUCAAAUGUUACCAAACAUGAUAAUAAUAGGCCUUUAUUACAGUAGGCAGCUAAUUGUUAAAUUACACUUUCCAUCUUUACCUUGGAAGGUCACCGUCUCUGCGCUGAUCGCAUGUGAGUGAGACAACGCUAGCUAGCCAAUGGGAGUGUAGUAGAACGUCCGUCUGAAUAACGGGGAGUGGUUUUGGCUUAACUGCGUUGGGAAAAAGAAAGACACCCAUCAGACACAUGAAGAAAUGGUUAAAAAUGGGAACGCUUCGACGACCACCUGUCACGAUUCUUUAAAGCUGAACCCAGAAGCAGACCAGGACAAGGUGAGUAAAAUGAAGGUGAGUAUUUAUUUACAGUCUCGAGGUGAAAAAUAGAAUAAUCCAGGAGACGGAGCGGCAGCGGAGGUGAGUUGAUGAGAGUGAAUAGGCAGAUCCAAUGAUGUCACUGAAACCACCGACGGCCAGGCAGGGGAGUUGAAUGUUCCGGGAGGAUGACUGUAGACAGAGUAAACGGGGGGAAUGGAUGUCAGGGCUUAUGAAGAGAAGAGGUGAUGAUCAGGACCAGGUGUGCUGAUGAGAUGCAGGUGCGGGUAAUCAAGAGUUCUCCCGCCUAGCUUCGUCGCCUGGCAACCAGACAAGGGGUUCGAGCCUGACUGCAGUGCUGGGGAUGAGGACAGGGAGCCCCAGAUCUCUGACCAGGCCCAGCUCCUCAAGCAGAGGGCCCUGAAGAAGAUCCCCCAAAAGCAGAGGAGGAUACUGGUCCAGUCCUACACCUCUGUCUCCAGCCAGCACAUCCCACAGAGAGGAGAGAUCGCUGUGAGGUUCCACAACUCCUCACACUCUGUGCAUACUGUACCAACCGCUACAGCCCCACCGCUAAAUACAUUGUCACUGUGGAGAUCAUGCAGAAGGAUACAACUCUAAUGCAUGGCUAACAGUGUCAACUAGCA